rnacentral:rRNA from 1 species
AAGACUUGACAUAUAGUAGAAAAGCGUAGAAAUACGCUCCCCGCAAGGCUGCUAUAC